AUGAACGCUGGCGGCGUGCCUAAUACCUGCAAGUCGCGCGAACGGACGAGAAGCUUGCUUCUCUGAUGUUAGCGGCGGACGGGUGAGUAACACGCGGAUAACCUACCUAUAAGACUGGGAUAACUUCGGGAAACCGGAGCUAAUACCGGAUAAUAUUUUGAACCGCAUGGUUCAAAAGUGAAAGACGGUCUUGCUGUCACUUAUAGAUGGAUCCGCGCUGCAUUAGCUAGUUGGUAAGGUAACGGCUUACCAAGGCAACGAUGCAUAGCCGACCUGAGAGGGUGAUCGGCCACACUGGAACUGAGACACGGUCCAGACUCCUACGGGAGGCAGCAGUAGGGAAUCUUCCGCAAUGGGCGAAAGCCUGACGGAGCAACGCCGCGUGAGUGAUGAAGGUCUUCGGAUCGUAAAACUCUGUUAUUAGGGAAGAACAUAUGUGUAAGUAACUGUGCACAUCUUGACGGUACCUAAUCAGAAAGCCACGGCUAACUACGUG
rnacentral:rRNA from 1 species